AGAUGCUGCCCUUAUCAUAGCAGUGGAGCAGGACCAGCUGGCACAGGGUCCUUCUGUGACACCUGCUGCGUCACCAGGCUAUGCGAAUGGACUCAGCUGCCAGAACUCACAGAAUAUCAGUAACAGCACCGAAACCUCACAGGAAAAAUG
rnacentral:lncRNA from 1 species